GAUGAACGCUAGCGAUAGGCUUAACACAUGCAAGUCGAGGGGCAGCACAAGGUAGCUUGCUAUCUGGGUGGCGACCGGCGCACGGGUGCGUAACGCGUAUGCAACUUGCCCUAUACAGGAGGAUAACCCGUCGAAAGACGGACUAAUACUGCGUAUGCUCACAACUUGGCAUCAAGUGGUGAGGAAAGAAAUUCGGUAUAGGAUAGGCAUGCGUCCCAUUAGCUUGUUGGUGAGGUAACGGCUCACCAAGGCAACGAUGGGUAGGGGAACUGAGAGGUUUUUCCCCCACACCGGUACUGAGACACGGACCAGACUCCUACGGGAGGCAGCAGUGAGGAAUAUUGGUCAAUGGGCGCGAGCCUGAACCAGCCAAGUCGCGUGAAGGAUGACUGUCUUAUGGAUUGUAAACUUCUUUUAUACGGGAAUAACAAGAGUCACGUGUGACUCCCUGCAUGUACCGUAUGAAUAAGCAUCGGCUAACUCCGUG
rnacentral:rRNA from 1 species